UCCUUGGUGGCUCAGAUGGUAAAGCGUCUGCCUACAAUGCGGGAGACCCGGGUUUGAUCCCUGGGUUGGGAA
rnacentral:tRNA from 1 species